rnacentral:tRNA from 1 species
GCUUGGCUGGUUCGGUUGGUACAGCGUGUGACUCUUGAUCUCAGGGUCGUGAGUUUAAGCCCCAUGUCAGGCA